GUUGAACGCUGGCGGCAGGCUUAACACAUGCAAGUCGAGCGGGGUGAUGGUGCUUGCACUAUCACUUAGCGGCGGACGGGUGAGUAAUGCUUAGGAAUCUGCCUAUUAGUGGGGGACAACAUCUCGAAAGGGAUGCUAAUACCGCAUACGUCCUACGGGGGAAAGCAGGGGAUCACUUGUGACCUUGCGCUAAUAGAUGAGCCUAAGUCGGAUUAGCUAGCUGGUGGGGUAAAGGCCUACCUAGGCGACGAUCUGUAGCGGGUGUGAGAGGAUGAUCCGCAACACUGGGACUGAGACACGGCCCAGGCUCCUACGGGAGGCAGCAGUGGGGAAUAUUGGACAAGGGGGGGAACCCUGAUCCAGCCAUGCCGCGUGUGUGAAGAAGGCCUUAUGGUUGUAAAGCACUUUAAGCGAGGAGGAGGCUCUUUUGGUUAAUACCCAGAAUGAGUGGACGUUACUCGCAGAAUAAGCACCGGCUAACUCUGUGCCAGCAGCCGCAGUAA
rnacentral:rRNA from 1 species